CGACAGAUGCAAACCAAAGACCACCUAGUUCACAGCUCACCUUGGUCGCAGUUAGCCAGCUGUGUUGAGUAAAACCGGAUAUUAAAGGGUAAUUUAAUUUGACUAAUUAUAACGCGUUGCUCUGAAUGACACCGAAGCGCUUCGACAAAGUCGUCGGAUAAUGAGUUCAGACUCAGAAGACUUAACUUUUUUUUUUUUUCGUUCGUCAUGACUGUCGGGUAGUUUGGUGCUGUGUGCUUGACGUUUUUCGUAAAGAAAAUGAACCGCUGUUUGUGUUUGGUCUACAUUAGUUCCUGUAUGUUUUUGUCACUGGACAGGAGAGCCGUCCAGGCCCAUUCAGCCCAAGGAAAGACUUCAGUGACUGGAGCGAACAUGUCCAACUAUUCAACAUUACUGCCCAAAGCUGAAUCCACCGGCCCAACUGUGCACAUCAUUUCUGCAUCCACAGGUGCUCCUUUUAGUAACCCAACAGCAUGUCCUCGCUUCCAUGCGAGUAGUUUCAUUGGCGGUAUGGUGCUGGCCUUUAUUAUCUUACUGCUCGUCACUCUGGGAUACAGGUUGGCCUGCUCACCACGGGAAGUGCGCUACAGAGUCAUGCUUCCUACGGCUAACUGAAACUUGUAUACGGACACAACUUUCGCUGAUUAAAGGACAGCUCAACAGACCGUCACCGCAGAAAAGUCUCCAACACGUCAGCACGACAUGACCCUGUUGACUCUCCUCAAGAGCUUUACUCAUCUUGUUGCAAUUUUCCAGCAGGGGGGUCUGCAGCACCGAGUCAACACCAUGUUUACAUUCCAAAGCAGGGGCAGCUGAGCAAAACCUCCUCCACCUCCCUGUCUGCCCCCUCGUCUUCCAACCUUUCAUUUAACAGCUCGCAAAAACAUACACGGCAAGCAUCUCUACUUCAGAUUUACCGCCCCCCCUACACAAAAUGUACUGAGAAACAAAACGCAACAGGUUGCUUUGAGGUGUAAGGCGGACCAGACCUUGUGCCAAUAAUCGUCAAAACAACGUGCAAUUACACGAUACGGUACAUUAAAAACAAAAAUACACAACAUGAACAGCGAGUACACACGGCUCAGAUCAAGCUCGUUUUUGGAGAAGACUGUGUGCCCGUCUAGCACGUGAGGACGGAAUGUUCUGACAGGUGUGUAGGUGCGUGCGUGUGUGUGUGUGUGUGUGU